CGGAGGUCUUGUUUGUGAAGCGUUUCUAGACGCGCUAGUUGGGCAGCGAGGCGUGCUAUUUCUUGUGUGCGUUGUUUUUUCAGGCGAGUGCCGUGUUUAAUGAGGAUCCCUCGGAUAGCGCAUUUGUGUGCUUCCCAGACAGUCGUUGGUGCGCUGUCUGUUGUUUGAUUGGUGAGGAAGAAGUGGUCUAGAGUGUUUCUAAUUUCUGUUUGGAUCAGUGGGUCCUCUAAGAGUGAUUCAUUAAGUUUCCAUGUCCAUUGGGAUCCGAAGGUUCUAGAAUUGUCGACGGU